rnacentral:sRNA from 1 species
CGACGCCCUUGGUUCCCUACAGAAAGGGGCGGAGCCUGGACUGGGGGGCAGGCUCAGAUUCAGGUUAAAUUGCGGAUUGAGCUCGCAGUUACAGACAGCUGACCAUGGAAGCGAAUGGGUUGGGCCUCCAGCGUAGCAUACUGACACCUACCCCCACCCCCACCUGAUCGCCAGACCUCAGGGUUUUCCGGAGCUGAAGAAUGACACAUUCCUGCGAGCAGCCUGGGGAGAGGAAACAGACUACACUCCCGUUUGGUGCAUGCGCCAGGCAGGCCGUUACUUACCAGAGUUUAGGGAAACCCGGGCUGCCCAGGACUUUUUCAGCACGUGUCGCUCUCCUGAGGCCUGCUGUGAACUGACUCUGCAGGUGAGGGGUCCACAAAAGAGGGAAAGAUUUAUGCCUUCAGUCUGCCACCUAGCAACCUGUCUCCUGUUUCCUACAGCCACUGCGUCGAUUCCCUCUGGAUGCUGCCAUCAUUUUCUCCGACAUCCUUGUUGUACCCCAGGCACUGGGCAUGGAGGUGACCAUGGUACCUGGCAAAGGACCCAGCUUCCCAGAGCCAUUAAGAGAAGAGCAGGACCUAGAACGCCUACGGGAUCCAGAAGUGGUAGCCUCUGAGCUAGGCUAUGUGUUCCAAGCCAUCACCCUUACCCGACAACGACUGGCUGGACGUGUGCCGCUGAUUGGCUUUGCUGGUGCCCCAUGGACCCUGAUGACAUACAUGGUUGAGGGUGGUGGCUCAAGCACCAUG